UUUAUUAGUUUUAAUCAUUCUUCUGGUAGGAGUUUACUUUCUUUGCAAGGAGAGCUAUGAUCUGUAAUUUUAGUCUUGACCCAACAGUAACAGAGCAUGUGGCCAAUUUGGUCAAAACGUCGUAGUUAUGAAGCAAAAUGUAGUAGUGCACAAACUCAGAAGCAUAAUGUAGGGUAUCGUCAAGGAAAAUAAGACACCCAUGUGAAAACCUGUACCUUCUAUUAGACAGAACCACCAAGUUUGUGUUGUUAUUGUCUGUGUCCCUAUAGACAGGCCUUUGAAUUCCAUCAAUCUGGAAGCAAAUGCAAGCAUGUGUCACUAUCAUUAUAGAGAGAUCCGAGUCAGUGACAGCUCAAUCAAGCUUAUGAAUUUUAUUAAAAAAAAA
rnacentral:misc_RNA from 1 species